GACGGCUUGAGACAGUAUGAAACAGAAAUUCUCCUGAUUUGUAAUCAGGGGGUCGGCGGUUCGACUCCGUCAGCCGGCACCA
rnacentral:tRNA from 1 species